rnacentral:rRNA from 1 species
UACAGAGGUCUCAAGCGUUGUUCGGAUUCAUUGGGCGUAAAGGGUGCGUAGGUGGCGCUGUAAGUCGGGUGUGAAAUUUCGGAGCUUAACUCCGAAACUGCAUUCGAUACUGCCGUGCUUGAGGACUGGAGAGGAGACUGGAAUUUACGGUGUAGCGGUGAAAUGCGUAGAUAUCGUAAGGAAGACCAGUGGCGAAGGCGGGUCUCUGGACAGUUCCUGACGCUGAGGCAACGAAGGCCAGGGGAGCAAACGGG